rnacentral:rRNA from 1 species
AGAGUUGUAUCCUGGCUCAGAUUGAACGCUGGCGGCAUGCCUUACACAUGCAAGUCGAACGGUAACAGGCCGCAAGGUGCUGACGAGUGGCGGACGGGUGAGUAAUGCAUCGGAACGUGCCCAGUCGUGGGGGAUAACUGCUCGAAAGAGCAGCUAAUACCGCAUACGACCUGAGGGUGAAAGCGGGGGACCGUAAGGCCUCGCGCGAUUGGAGCGGCCGAUGUCAGAUUAGCUAGUUGGUGGGGUAAAGGCCCACCAAGGCAACGAUCUGUAGUUGGUCUGAGAGGACGACCAGCCACACUGGUACUGAGACACGGACCAGACUCCUACGGGAGGCAGCAGUGAGGAAUAUUGGACAAUGGGCGCAAGCCUGAUCCAGCCAUGCCGCGUGCAGGAUGAAGCAUCUAUGGUGUGUAAACUGCUUUUGUACGAGAAGAAACACUCCUUCGUGACGGGGCUUGACGGUAUCGUAAGAAUAAGGAUCGGCUAACUCCGUGCCAGCAGCCGCGGUAAUACGGAGGAUCCAAGCGUUAUCCGGAAUCAUUGGGUUUAAAGGGUCCGUAGGCGGGCCAGUAAGUCAGUGGUGAAAUCUCCCGGCUC